GUACCAGAAGAAAAAAAUCUUUGUGGCACAUAACAACUAAAAUACUAAAUAUACAGAACAAAGAAAGAAUACUAAGAGCUCCAAUGGAAAAAGGCCAAGUAACAUAUAAAGGCAUGCCUAUUAGAAUUACACCCAACUUCUUGACAAAGACUCUAAAAGCCAGAAGGGCCAAGAGGAUGUCUUGUAGACUCUUAAGAGACCAUUGAUGUCAGCCCAGACUACUAUACCCAGCAAAACAUUCAAUUACCCACAUACACA
rnacentral:lncRNA from 1 species